UAUUUUGUUGAAAAUACCCAAGAAAGCUAUAAUUAACAAGAGAUUUUACCUACUUCCUCCAAAAAUGCAAAGAUUUUCUUAGAUUUUUCUUAUAUAUUUUGUAAAAUAUUCUCUUUUUUUUAAUUUUAUUUUAUUGUUCAGAAGAUUUUUACUGCGCUUCCGCAGAAAACGUGAGAUUUUUGGGAUUUUCUUGUAUAUUUUGUUAAAUAUAUUAUAGACACCCAUGUUGAUAAGGAGGCUCAUACUGCUUCCCUUCUCUGGUAAAUCUUACAACAAACACUUUUAUCUUGGGUAUUUCUGAAAAUUUACAACACAAUCCUAAGAAUUUAGGGGAUUUCCUUGUGAAAGUAUGAAGAAUAAUCUGAUCAGCGUUAGUAUUUUGGGUACAUUCAAUAAAAUGAUCAAGGAAAUCCUAUACAAUAUCUACGAUUUUCUGGAAGAAAUAGGAGAGAAGCCCUGAGCAAUGUGGGCUCCUUGUAUAGAAAUGGAUUUGUAUUAUUUGUAUAAACAAAUAAAAUAAAUAAGCUUUUCAUAUUUUAUAGACCAUAUUAUACACGAUAAGGCGAUGAAGUCCUGUGCCAAAAUAGUCGGUCAAAUCAAAGACAGCAAUAGGCCAUGCAGAAAGCGUAAGAAGGCAACGCCAGCAAUUCCAUUACCAAAGAACACUUCAGCAGUACCUGGGCCAUAUACUCAGCGAGAUUUGAAAUCGUCUGAAUCUACUCAUACAUCUAUCUAUCGUCUAAAUCGUAAGCUGUGUAAGGUGAUCAACGAUUCCUGCUUCUUUUGUAAUUCAUUAUAAUGUAAAUAUUUUUUCAAUCACGUCAAUAUUUUUUAUAUAUGUAUCUGAACAUUAAAUUAAUUUGAAGUUUAA